rnacentral:rRNA from 1 species
GAUUUCUGGUUUAAUGCACCUGGCCCGCGGCCACUAGGCUUGUGAGUGCCGGCGCGCGUUUACCAUCCUUCUAGAAAACGUUUCUGCCAUUAACUUGGUUGGGAAUGCGAUCUAGAUCUUUUACUUUGAAAAAAUUAGAGUGUUUAAAGCAGGCUUUUGCUAUGAAUACAUUAGCAUGGAAUAAUAAUCUAGGACUUCGGUUCUAUUUUGUUGGUUUCUAUAACUAUUCUUGGAUUCGGUCAAGACUAACUUAUGCGAAAGCAUU